UCAAUGUCGGAGUGAGAAGAAGCCGAUUUGGGAGAUUUCUUCUUGCUGAACGCUUGUUUGAAAGAGCUUCGCAGCUGCAGGUUAAAAACAAACAGAGUGGGAGAGACGGUGAGCAGGAGAGAUUCAUAAAAACCCAGCUGGGAGGGAGAGGAGGAGGAGAGUGCCGAAGGAAAGUGGAGGAAAACAGCUGUGACCAAGUGCAAUAUCUUCAGGUGGAUUUUUCCCUUCGAGAGCGAGCUCAAGAGUCAUAAGAGCGGUUUUGAGGGGGAGGAAGUGUUGGAGAGGAGAGGAAAGGCACUAAAGUGGCAGCAGGAGAGGAGAGGAGGAAAAAGGAGUGAGGUUAGUACCCUAGAAAAGGUGCAGGGGUUAGGCUUCUUUGUCUCUUUCACACAGAGCACCAUUCUUACCUCAUACACCUGCCACAUGAAGCGAAGCAGAGGAAGACAGAGAGACAAAACAGCACAUGUUCAUAUGGGUUUGGGCGUGUUAGUGGAGGGACACAGAUUAAACUACGGGACUGGAGCUGAUUUCAUGUGACUUCCAGGCAGCAGCUGCUAAUUCUACAUCACAGCCAGCAUGAAGCGAAGGCCCUUUCAUGAUCCAUUAUAUACUCUGCAAACACACGCAGCCCCCAUACGCUCCACAUUAUCCACAGCGUGAGCAGCACCUGCACGGAGGAGCCUGCUGUGGGGUCUCAUCCACACACAAGCACUGACAGCUGGACGCACAUCCACACACGCAGGAGGGUGUUUAUUAUCACUGCCACCUAAAGCAGGAAACAUGAGCUGGAGUCUUUUAACACGGCACCACAGCGCUCAUCCUAAAAAUCUGACAACAUCGGGGGGAAGAUACUGACGACCACAGGUGGCUAACAGACUGUUUGACUCUAUGGGAAGAAAAAGAAAAAGAGCAGCGUACGUCGUCAUCGUCAUGUCUGACUUGUCCUCCGGUGCAUAAAAAAGUCUUUGAGCAACACAAAGAAAAAAUGUUCAGUUGAAUGUAAAUGUAGGAUGUUUAGCUGUAUAGUUACAUGUAUGUCUAGUGAG